rnacentral:tRNA from 1 species
ACCCUUUUAGCUCAAUGGUUGAGCGUUGGCACAGGUCGGUGGUUCGAGCCCACCAGGGCACA